rnacentral:rRNA from 1 species
UACGUAGGGGGCAAGCGUUGUCCGGAUUUAUUGGGCGUAAAGAGCUCGUAGGUGGUUUGGUAAGUCGGAUGUGAAAUCUCCAGGCUCAACCUGGAGGGGUCAUUCGAUACUGGCAUGACUAGAGGUCGGUAGGGGAGUGUGGAAUUCCUGGUGGAGCGGUGAAAUGCGCAGAUAUCAGGAGGAACACCCGUAGCGAAGGCGGCACUCUGGGCCGAUUCUGACACUGAGGAGCGAAAGCGUGGGGAGCGAACAGG